rnacentral:misc_RNA from 1 species
UCCGAGUUGUCCCCGGCAGUCUCCUUAGAGUCCCCACCAUUACGUGCUGGCAACUAAGGACAGGGGUUGCGCUCGUUGCGGCACUUAAGCCAACACCUCACGGCACGAGCUGACGACAGCCAUGCAGCACCUGUGUAGGCUGGUAUUGCUACCUCGUCACCCUUUCAGGCUUCUACUACCUACAUGUCAAGGCCAGGUAAGGUUCUUCGCGUUGCAUCGAAUUAAGCCACAUACUCCACCGCUUGUGCAGGCCCCCGUCAAUUUCUUUGAGUUUUAAUCUUGCGACCGUACUUCCCAGGCGGCACAUUUAACGCGUUGGCUACGCCACGAAAGGGGUCGAAUCCUCUCACAGCAAAUGUGCACCGUUUAGGGCGUGGACUAC